rnacentral:rRNA from 1 species
AUUGAACGCUGGCGGCAGGCCUAACACAUGCAAGUCGAGCGGAGCGGCGGACGGGUGAGUAAUGCCUAGGAAUCUGCCUGGUAGUGGGGGAUACCGUCCGGAACGGGGCGUUAAUACCGAUUCUUUUCAGUUAGGCCUGGGUGGGAUUAGCUAGUUGGUGGGGUAAAGGCCUACCAAGGCGACGAUCCGUAACUGGUCUGAGAGGAUGAUCAGUCACACUGGAACUGAGACACGGUCCAGACUCCUACGGGAGGCAGCAGUGGGGAAUAUUGGACAAUGGGCGAAAGCCUGAUCCAGCCAUGCCGCGUGUGUGAAGAAGGUCUUCGGAUUGUAAAGCACUUUAAGUUGGGAGGCGUUACCAACAGGAUAAGCACCGGCUAACUUCGUGCCAGCAGCCGCGGUAAUUC